rnacentral:rRNA from 1 species
UACAGAGGGUGCGAGCGUUAAUCGGAAUUACUGGGCGUAAAGCGUGCGUAGGCGGUUGCGUGAGUCAGAUGUGAAAGCCCCGGGCUCAACCUGGGAAUUGCAUUUGAGACUGCUCUGCUCGGGUGCGGAAGAGGGAAGCGGAAUUUCCGGUGUAGCGGUGAAAUGCGUAGAUAUCGGAAGGAACACCAGUGGCGAAAGCGGCUUCCUGGUCCGACACCGACGUUCAGGCACGAAAGCGUGGGGAGCAAACAGG